AAAUCGGGGAAAGUAGGUUACUUAAAAAAGUGCGUAGAAUCCGAAAAUGACCUUGGUUUUUUUCGCAAAACAAUACUGAUGUCGCUACAAACUCUUAAAUUAGGGAAAACGGCCAUUUUUGCCACUUUGAUCAUCUCUCUUGACCACAAAAACAAUUCAAAUUGAAAAACCCCUCUCUGUUUUUUGUUUUAGGGUCUAACGUAUUGAAUUUCUAUUUUACAAAAACUGUUGAAUACUUAGGUAUUAGGUACUUAUAAAACCUUGAAAUAAGAACACUUUUGAAUAUAUUUUUUAAAACCCCAAUUCCUCUCCUGUUUUUUAGAUUGUUACAUAGGAUCUGAUCCAAGUUUUUCUAUGGUUGUAACAUUUCCAAUGAUUUGCUGAGAGGAGUGAUUUUGCCAAUAACAUGAAACUUGAUCACAAAUUCGGUGUAGUAAAAUUACGUACAUAUUUACAUGACAACUUACCUUGUGCAUUCAGUUCUUUCUUUACUUACAACUUUGACUACUUAAAUUUUUUUUUUUUUUGACAUUUUUUUAUACUGGGCGUGUAUAAUUGCCAGGAUUUUUACGCCCAGUUUCGAGGGGUUAGUCUAGAUUUGGUUUGAAAGGUUUAUUUCUUUGAUGUAUUUAAUAAUGUUUUCCAUCUGCUUGAUAUUGUCAGGAAUUGUAAUGAUUUGUGGAUUUGUGUUCUUCCUUUAUGUACUUACUGGUAUUGCCUAGCUUUGUUCAUUGGUAAUUUUCAUUCUCCUAAUGACUUCAGCAGCUUCAACUAUAUUUUCAUCUUUUAAUUAUUCUCUUGUAAAAGUUCUGUAGCAUAAUCAUUUCAUCACUUUUAUCACAUAAAUCUGAUCUGCCCUUAUGGAUCUCUUCACUCAGUUUAUUAUACAGGUAAUGGGGCAAAAAUAAGAGCCAGGUGGUUUUCUAUGGCAAAUAAUUGAGCUUAUGCUUACAAUUAAAUUGCAUGUCAAAAUUAUACAUAUCAUUAAAAAUAGAACUGAUAAUUGAAUUAGAUUUAAAUGGAUUCCAAAAGAACUACCAGAGAGGAAAAACUACCAGGGAAACUACCAGUUAUAAAUCACCUUUAUUGCUCGCUAUGAUAGAUUUAUUGUACUAGCAUCGCAGAUGUGUAGGAAUGCAGAUAGUGAUGGCUACCGCUUUUCAGUAAAGUGAUGCAAAUCCCUGUAACAUACACCGCCCUCAUUGAAUUUCCCAUAGAAUUUCGAAAACGUAUCGGAUUUGUCUAUCGUUCAGAGGACCCAUCCUGGAAAAAAGUGGUGUAGCCUGUAGUGCAUCACUGUUGGCAAUCUGUAGCCAUCACAAACUGUAUAGUACUAAUAAUGUCAGUUUUAUAGAUAAUAUAUGUAACAAAGUUUAUGAAAUAGUAUUAAAGUAGGUAUCUAAACCUUUGAAUGCUCAAAGACAUGAGGUUGUUUCUACAAACGCUUUCAUAAGCGUAGCAACUAGCAAAUUUUAAUAUGCUUCACCAAAAAUCCCUUAGUUAUAUUUUUGGUCGACAUACGUAAUAAGAAUUAAUACAAAUGAAAAAUUAUUGAAGAAAUUACAAAAAUUACAAAGCAUGACACUGUCUUACCGACCUUGUAGUUUUGGGUCUUUUCUUUGUAAAAUGUAAGUCAUGUUUACAUUAUUUUCUGUUUUUUAUAUUAAUUAAUUGCGCUUCCUAUUAUAAUAUAAUGUACUGGAGGUAGUACUAUUUCCUCUCCUGCUUUUUAUACAGUAAUUUAAGAUAUGAUCGAAUAAUUUUUUUGUGUUGGUAACAUUUUCAAUGAUUUCUUCAUUAAGAUGUGGUGCAUGUAUUAACUUGACGCAUAAUCAAAAAUUUCGAUAUGGUAAAAUAUUUACAUGCCAGCUUACCUCGUGUAUAAAAAUUGCACAGGAUAACAGUUGCUGUAUCUGCAAUAACGUCUUCAUGAUUUAGAAUAGUUUUUAGGAAAGACAGUUCCAAAAAUUCAAAUUUUUUACCAUUAUUAAAAUUUAAAAGACAUCUUUGCUUUGAAACACAAUAUGUACCUAGUAUUAGAGCCUUUUUCCAAUGUGAAAAAGAAGAAGUAUUUCAUCUCUUAAUCAGAUGUUGGAACAUGAGGAUGAACAUACAGGGUGCACAAAAAUAUCAAGUUCUCCGAAAACAGUUUUGUGUUAAACGUUUUGGUUGGUCACAGUGAAUAACAAUAAUGAUGAUAUUGAUAUAACUCAUGAUUGGUUAUUGGACUGAUGUGAUAACAUACCACCAAUCCAUACGUAUGCAUCUAUUUCACGUCGCCAACAUUUAUAGGUAUUUUUAAUUUUACCAGAAAACUUUCUUCGGAGCACUCGCUAUUUCUGCCUACCCUUUAGAAAAAAAUAGUAUGGUAAACAAAAAAAGAAAACUCUAUUGCAUAAACGAAGUGACAGACUGAACUAUCCGAUGAAUUUGUAUUUUUGUUUACUAUUUUUACUAUACAGGAUUGUAGGUAUUUCUCUUUAUGUUCAUCUUAACAUCUAAUUAAGUGAUAAAAUACAUCUUUUAUUCCAAAAUGGAAGGAAGUUCUACGCUACAUAUUUUUGUGCUUCAAAGUGAAAAUGUUUUCGCCCUCCAAUUGUGAAGCGAAAUUACAAAAGGCACUUCAAUGACGCCCUCCAGUUGUAUAGCAAAACUGCAAAGGGCACUUCAGUGACACCGCUCUCCAUCUUAUGUCCAAAAUUCUGACCCCCGAGGUCAAUUCGGAAGGUCUACAGGAAUGUCUUAAAAGGUUGAAAAAUGCAUAAAAAUACUUUACCGAAAGCAUCACUGUUUACUGUUUAAAUUAGAUCCAUAUUCUUUCUAUCCUGCUUGUUUUUAAUUCUUGGGCAAGUGGAUUUUUAAUACUUGACGUUUUUUAUGUGCUUUUUUUUCUAGCUUAAAAUGUGUAAGACAGGUCUCAAAAAGCAGUAAAAAUUCUUAAAAUUACUAAAGAAAGAUAAGUAAUUUUAUUUCAAACACAUCGUUUAAACUAUACCUAUAUACUUAGUCAUGGAAAAUCACCAAAAAAAAGUAAUAAAAUUCAUUAAGCUUGCCAAAAACUUAUGAUGAAAUGUUGAAGAUGUGUUGACAAAAUAUGUACUACAAUAUAAAAACGCUCAAAGAAGCAUUAAAAUCAGUACCUACCUACCUACCUACCUACCUAGGUAAGUAGCUAAGUACCCAAUCAGCGAGAAUCAUUUUAAAAGUGAGUGAAAUUUCAGUACAAUUUUGACUAUUGGCAAAAUGAUAACAAAAAUAUACUCAAGAAAUUUGGACAUUGAGGGAAAGUUCACAAGGCAGUAAAUUUUUGAAAAUACAUAUCAUAAGUAUAAUUUUGAAAUUUCCAGUUCGUUUAAUUGGUAAAUUUACUGACUUACUCUGACGCUGAAUAAAUGAAAGCUGGUAGGGUAUCGUCAUAACAAUAUGAACUUGAGAGAGUGAAAUGUAAACAGAUAAGGGUUUAUUAUUGGAAAAGAAAAACUCUCUCCUAGGAUUUAUUAUGAAAAGAACGAAUUUUCUCACUCUCAAAUACGCGUACCAAUCAAAACUAUUGAUAGGUAUAGGUACCCUCUAUAUUUAAAAUGCUUCAACUAAAAUAUGUAAAUAAAUUCAAAUUUAUUUACUAUCAUGUCGACAUUAAUCCAUAAAAAUAGUAUUCGUAUUUACCAUUUUUCACGCUCAAAAAUGAUCAAAUAAUAAGCUUCACAGAAAUGUUAUACCUAUCUUGGCAAGUACAAGCUCGGUUUUUUGAACUAUUGUCUCAUUAAUGAAUACCUAAUGCUCGCAUGAAAAUGACCCUAUAAAAUACGUAAGUUUAAAUCAAAAAUAUUUUCAUUCUAAAGCAAAUUUUUAAACAACAGUUGCGUACUCGCCGAGAUAUAACCUUUCUAAACAACAUAUCCAAAAAUGAGGCCAAUCCAUUCGCCCGUUUUUGUGUACUUUAGUAAAUAUAGAAUUCGUCAUAUUUUACCUACUCAUUUACCUACUAAACUACACCCUUAAUACUAUAAAUAUUCAACUUGAAUAAUCAAUAAAAAAAAUCAACAUAGGUAUCUUAUAAAAAUUCAACUUAUUAAAAAUCCAGUCGUUUUCUCCCAUGGUUAUUUUAAACAGACGCUGUCAUCACUUUUAAUGUGCUAUAAUAUUGAAUGCAUGCAUUCACAAAAUACGUAGGUACUGAGGUAUUCUUAAUGAGGAUUUGUUUAGUUUUCAGAAUGAUUUUUUAAAAUUUUCAGUACACUGAAUACAAAGAUACUAUUUUCAACUUAAUUUUCUGGGGUGAAUUUUGAUGAAAAAUUGCAGAUUUUACACUAAAAAAAUAAUUAUAGAGUUUAUUUUAUACAAAAAUGGUUGCGAGUCUGUAGCCUUUUGCUCCUUGAUGAAUAAUUAGUGCAGUUUGUACUUGACAAAUAUUUAAUAAAAAUAUGAGGGGAGGGAGAGGAUGAAAUUUGACAAAAGAAGCUCUCAAACAAUUCUGUAAAAAAAAAAAAAAAAAAAAAACAGGACUUUUGUUCAGAAAACUUGAAAAUAAAAAGAGGACUUCUUAGGCAGAGGAAGACAAAAAUUAAGUAUACGGUACUUAACAAGUCUAUUGGUAACUUUGGAAAAAGUCAACUUAUGUGAAUUAAUUGACUUUUUUGUCAAAAAACUAUGUACUUCCUAGUAGUUUGACCAAACAUGUCAAAUCUUUGUCAAUACGCUAAAAAUUGACACUAUUUUUUUGACAAUUUUGGCAAAAACAGGUUUUUUUGGCCAAUCUUGACAAGAAGAGGACUGUUUAACAAGUUUGGUAAAAGUUUGCCUUUUUGAAAAUUUUACCAAGAAUGAUCACUUUUUGACAAUUUUGACCUAAAAAUGGGAUACCUAUUUGUUGACUAUUUUGCCAACCAUCUACGUAUGUAUCAGAAAUAUUUCCUGUUGAACAAUAUUUUUCAUUUAAAUAUUCAAUAUUAAAUAACAUAAAUAAAAAGUAAUUAAAAUUAUAUAGGUAGGGUAAUAAUGACAAAAAUUUAACUUGAAUAUGCAAUCAAUAAAAAAAAAUAUAUUGUUCAAACACAGAUGCUUGAAAAUUAAUUGAUUACUGAUUUUUCAUCAUUUUCAAGUAAUUAAUUUUGAAGCAUGUGCAACUAUUAAAUUCUAGAGGUAUGAUUAUGCAGUACAUAUUUAAAUUAUCUAUGUAGGUAGGUACAUUAUACAUAAUAUCAAUUUAUUUUUCAAUUUAGAGAUACCUACAGAUUAAAACAGCUAAGCCUGGUUUAAUACCUGAUAAACCAGGUUUAAACUUUUAUGGAAUAACUGACCUUUAUUAAAUCUGUUGGAACUAAUUUGUAUUGAUGUUGCUUACUAUGGGAAAUAAUUAUGCAUAGGUACAUAUGCUUGACAUUACUUACAGGAGUUGAUGUGUAAGGUUUGGAUAAUUGAAAUUUACAUUUAUCAGAGGUGCGUUUUGGUUCCAUGUGAAGUCUGCAAAUUGAAAAGAACAAAUACAGUAAAAAUAUUAGUGGUAUGGGUUUCAGGUAGUCUGUUCCUCUUGAGGGAAUAAAUCUCCUGAAAAAAAAACAACAGACAACAGGAGAGGGAGAACUGCCAGAGAACCUACACACGUUAUAAAUCACUUUCAUUGCUUAAUCUAUCAUAGCAAUUGCUAUGAUAGAUUAAUUGUACUAUAGCAUCGAAGAUGUGUAGGAAUGCAGACAGUGAUGGCUACAGCUUUUCAAAGAAGUGGUGCAAAUCCCUGUAACAUUUACCUCCAUAAAAUUUCAAAAACUUAUUGCAUUUGUCUACCAUUUAUAGAGGCCCAUCCCAAAAACAGUGGUGUAGUGCAUCACUGUUUGCAAUCUGUGGCCAUCACGAACAAACUGUACAUAAUUAAUAAUAACAAUCAGUUUCAUAAUAUAACAAAGUGUAUAAACAAUAAAAGAAUCUGAACCUUUGAAUGCUCGAAGGCAUGAGGUUGUUUCUGUGAAUGCUUUCAUAAGCGUAGCAAAUUUUAAUUUUCUUCAAAAAAUUUUUUAGUUAUAUAAAUGUCUGGUUGACAUACGCGAUUCAGUACACUGAAUACAAAAAUAUUUUUUCAAUUUUUUGAAAGGAAAUAAUUUUUAUGAAAGAUUUGCGGAUUUUACACUCAAACAAAUAAUAAUUAGAGUUUUAUUUUAUACAAAUGGUCGCGAGUAAAGAGUAAUUUAGCUACAGAGUCUACAGCCUUUCAUUCCUUGAUGAAUAAUUUGUGCAGUUUGUAAUUUAAAAACAUGACUUUUGUUUAGAAUACCUACUUUAAAACAUAGAAGAUUUUUUAGGCAGCGGAAAACAAAAAUUAGGUACGUAAUGCUUUUUGGACGUUUUGAAAAACAAAGCACAAGCCUCUUAGUAAUUUUGACAGAAAUUUCGAACAUGUGACUUCUUUAUCGAAAAACUACUUUCUGAUAGGUGGUUUUGAACAAAUAACAUUUCAAAUUUUUGUCAUACGCUAAAAAUUGACACUUUUUGACAAUUUUUCUAAAAACUUGGAAUUUUUUGACAAUUUUGGCAGAAAGAGGAUUUUUUGGCCAAUCUUGACAAGAAAAGGACUGUUUGACAAUUUUAGUAAAAAUUUGCCUUUUUUGAAAAUUUCAUCAAAAGUGAUUACUUACUUUUGACAAUUUUGACCUGAGUGGGCCACUUUUUGAUUGCUCCUACAGCUACUCGUACGUAUGCGUCAGAAAUAUUUCCUGCUAAUAAAUAUUUUUUAUUUAAAUAGAUAUUUAAUAUAAGAUUAAAUAACACAUAAAAAAUAAUUAAAAUUAAUAUACCUAAUAAAAAUUCAACUUAAAUAAUCAAUAAUUUUUUAAAAAAUAACAUACUAAAAAAUGUAACUUAAGUAUAAGGUCCAGUCGUAUUCUCCGAGACUGUUUCGAACAGACGCUGUCACAAUAAAUUCCCACGAGAAAGCUGACCUAAUCUGAGAAUAUCCAAUCAGGCCCCUUCCCCUGCGCCUGAAAAAACCUGAGCAGACUUGAUCCGAUAAGAAUAAAUCUGAUGUGAUCUAAUCUGAUGAGUUUAGAUCAGAUUGAAUCUGACUAAUUUCUCAACUCACUUCAUUUCGGAAGAAAUUUCCCUGUAUUCUCAAGUAUAUGUACCGACAUAAAAUUCUUAAUUUUAUUUCUUCUGAGCGGAUCAUUAUUCAUUCGUCGAGUUCUGAGAAACUGCUUCAAGUUCUUUAUAAUGUGGAUGAAUUAUUUCGAUAGGAUUCAAAGAUAUGGUGUGAUGGCUACUUUUUGAAAUGGUGAAAGAUUUUUUUAAAGAUGUUGUGUAAAGAAUAUCUGGAAUACGGUGUAACAUUAGGCUGUAAAUUGAAGUGUCCAUGCAACUGAGUUCAUCAUUCAAGAAGUGAUCAACUUUGUUACGAUCUCCAGACUCCAGAGUUUUUUUCACCAGAUGUUCUGACUUUCGGACUAGAUGUUCCUUUAUAAAGAUGAUUUAUCAAGAACCAGCAUUUUUGAAAUGGAGAUUCCUCAUUCAAGGAAUAAGAAUAUCACUCUGCAAAACCUUGGAAUAAACUGUAGCUGCGAUCACCAUACAAUUUGAGAAUUUGUUACCAGUUAAAUACAUAAAACGAUUAAGAAAUCAUAAAUUAUGUAUUUUUAAAAUUUUUAAUUAAUGAGAAACGAAUUUCGAUGUAUAAUGAAUCGCGUUCAAUGAUGAAAAAUCACCCAUCGAUUCGAAAUAUUCCAUGUCGUAGAAGUGUUGUGAAAAUAUUGCCUCGUUUUUCUUUUCUGUUUUAUUGUUUAUUUUUGGUUAAUUUUAAUCGUAUGUCGAGUUUUUGUUCCUUUGUAUUUUUAAAAUUUUUCCCCUUUAUUUUCAUCUAUUCCGAUGAAAUUGAAAUGAUUGUUUUAGUAUGUAUUAUCAAAGCAUUUUGUUGAAUUUAUUUUCAGGCUUUUUCCCUCAUUUUUAUUUAGUUACUCGUAUAUUAUUUUUUUUAUAUUUUUCGAAUUUAAAAUUAUGUGAGAAAAAAACAUGAUGAAACUUAUUGCGAUGUUAAAUUCUGUUUUGUUUUCGUAAUUAGUACUUACAAUGUAAGAUAUGAGUAUUUUUUUUGUUUUUAAUCAAC